CACAAGUGUGUGUGGAGUUUUCAUGGAUGCCAUGAGCCAGGCUCUGCCCCUAGAACAAGUUGCCAGCCUCUGUCCUAUAUCUUCAUAACUACUGCCCACAUAGCCAGGCACUGACGGGAGCUUUAGAAGCACAAGGUUCACGCGUGAACGGCACUGACAACUGAAAAACACACUUGAAACUUGAAACUUGGAACAUGGAGGAAGAGCAAACAGCAAACGCCUAGGCGACUUCAGUCCUGCUGCCCUGUGACCACCCUGGGUUUUACAUGUUAGUGGAAAUUCCUGUUCUUGUAAACUCAAAGGCUCCCAUA